GCCAGACUCCUACGGGAGGCAGCAGUGGGGGAUAUUGCACAAUGGGGGAAACCCUGAUGCAGCGACGCCGCGUGAGUGAAGAAGUAUUUCGGUAUGUAAAGCUCUAUCAGCAGGGAAGAAAAAAGACGGUACCUGACUAAGAAGCCCCGGCUAACUACGUGCCAGCAGCCGCGGUAAUACGUAGGGGGCAAGCGUUAUCCGGAUUUACUGGGUGUAAAGGGAGCGUAGACGGCAAUACAAGUCGGAAGUGAAAUACCCGGGCUUAACCUGGGAACUGCUUUGGAAACUGUAUGGCUGGAGUGCUGGAGAGGUAAGCGGAAUUCCUAGUGUAGCGGUGAAAUGCGUAGAUAUUAGGAGGAACACCAGUGGCGAAGGCGGCUUACUGGACAGUAACUGACGUUGAGGCUCGAAAGCGUGGGGAGCAAACAGGAUUAGAUACCCCGGUAGA
rnacentral:rRNA from 1 species